rnacentral:lncRNA from 1 species
UUUCAAUUUAUCUCACUUGAUCAUUUCCAAGCAUUGGAAGCGUAAGUAUACGUUGUAUGUAUAUGAGAUACGUACGUAGUCGUGAAACGUUUAAGGAUAUUGAUCUUUGAUCGCUCAGUUGUUUCUAGCAAUCGACCCGUUUAUAAGAUAAUUAUUGUUUAAGGCCAAUAUCUCGAAUCUCGAGUUCUUCCCGUCAAUCAAUCUAUUUAUAUUACUUAUUUUUCCAGUCACUCAUAUACCGAGAAAUUCUAAAUAUAUCCAACACGCGCAAGAAGAAUCACUCUGUGCAUUUUGAUCAUUUGAUUGAUUGAAACCCUAGUGCAUCUCUUAUUCUUCGAAGAGAAACGUAUAAAUCUUUAAGAAAUUUCAUUCGAUUCGAAACUUAUACAUAUUCUUCCCUUUUUCAAGGUUAGAAGAAACAAGUAGCAUACCAUCACGUGUACCAGAGUCGACGUAUAGAAACGUAAUCGGAGUGGAAUGGCAUUCAGUUGAAAUAUCGAUGCAUGAUUUACGUCAAGAAUGUCCGCCAACCAACCAAUUGAUACCAAUUCCGUCCGUUGUGCAAUUGGCGUCGCUUGACAUCACUUUAUUUAGACGCAUGCGCUAUUUAUCACGCUAAACAUCGUAUUCUGUGAACGGCCAUGUUGUGUAAAAGGUUGUGGAUCAAGAGAAAAUGGAGGAUUUGUCGAAUAUGACGAAUAUCAUGAUUCAGUGAUGACAAAAACACGUUUAUGAUUACGAUAAUGAAACAGACAUUCCUGAAUAUAAGGUUACCACAUGCAAAAUGAAUGUAACGAAUUAUUGGACCACGAUAAAUUAUAUCUCAACCCAAAAUCUCGUCAAAAUAGAUUGUGAACGAAAUUUACAAAUACGAUAUUGCUAAAUAAUCAGAAAUCUUUAUUUCGGGGUUAUCGAAAUCUGACAUUUUCUUUGAAACAGUAAACACUUAGAUUUGUCAAAGUCUCGAUUCUAGAUCUUUAAAAAUGAUCUAGUGUUUUUAUAGUAUUAUAUAUUAUAUACAUUAUAUAAUAAUAUAACAUAAUACAACAUAAAUUCUUCAAAUAUUUAAACUCUCAAUUCUCAUUUUUUUUUAGUCUUCACUAUCAUUAAAGGUAAGAAUAAAAAAAAAUUAAAAUUUUAUGUUUUUAACAAAUUAUAUAUCAUGGCUUGAAUUCUGUGCUUAUAACGAAUAAAUAUUAUAUUUAUUAUUAUACUUCUAUUUCUAAUCUUUAUUUUUUUCUUUUUUUCUUCCUGCAAAUUUCUCUUGAGGAAAAUUGAACUGAAUUAUAAAUAACAAGAAAAAUUACGAAGACAUUUCAAAUUUCUUGAGCAUUUCCUUAAAAACAGUCGUGGUAUAUCUUAAUUGGAAAUUUCUCUGAAACAAGAAGAAGCAAGGAAAAGAAAAAGUAGUAUAAAAAGAAAUGAAUACUUUGAUAUUCCAUUGGAUAUAAGAAAUUGAUUAAAGUUAGAAUGACGCGUGCUGUGCGUAGUCAUACGCGUGCCAUAGAUAAAUUAGUGUCACUUAAGAGAAGCGCGCGUAAACUCGAGAUUCGUGUGAAAACCCAUCUUUGAGUCAAAUAAUUCAAAUGAAAAACACAAAAAUAAAGAAAAAAUUAAAAAAAGAAAGUCAGUCAAUUGAACAACAGUCAAUCAUAGAAAGAGAUAGAAGAUAGAUAUAGAAAUAAAUUUCUAAAGCUUAAAGAAACAGUGAUAUAGUUUACCUGCACUUUAGUUGGGCAUUCUCUCCACGUCGAAUAGAGCCGAGUUCCAAACUGGAGUUGGAGGCGUCUGAAUCGCUGUGCACUGGGCUCGGUGGACCACCGUUCGUCAAACCAUCAGGCGACACUCCCAAACCCGGCAACGUGGUCGAUGGGGAAGUUCCGAGUUCUUCCUCGACCGGCAUGCUUCGCGGCCAAACCGGAAGGUCUAGCGGUGCUUGCUGAUGCAGGCUGAGGCUCCCGUAGUAGUUGAUGUUUGGGCUAGUCGGGUAACCGGAAAUCGGGCUGUAAAAACCCGGUAUCGUUCCUAGCAACGUGCCAGGAUAACGAACGGAGCCGUACGCACCAACGUGGCUUGGCAUUCUACCCGGGACGUAAACGAUCAUUUUUAUUCUCUUUUUUUUUUUUGUAUUUUCGUUAAUCGAAUUCGACCAGAAACGUGCAAACUUCCCCUUUAUAAAAUUUUUAGACUUUCAAUCAAAGAGAAUUUUGUGAAUAUAUAGUAUCGAUUGUGUUCACUUUGAUGUGAAAAAUAUGAUUUACGAAUGGAUUUGAAAGGUUGACAAUAGGUUGACAAUAUUUUCGUUUAUUUCAAAUCAAUUUAAUCUUGCGUUUCAUCGGCUGCUAAUAUAUCUAUGUGAUUACGAUUGAUUCGUAUCACCUCUUUAUAGAUUGAAAUACGUUUUCUUCUUUCGCGAUUUUAUCGUGUUUUCGAAAGCGUUUCGAAAAUGGCGGACGUCUCCUCGUUUCCUCAGACCGUAUCGAGGGUAGGAAACGAUCGACGCAUCGGUGAAAAUCGCGAACAAGACUUUCCAGGUCUUGCCGAUCCCUUUCUCUGUGUUCGAGCCCUCAAUCCGAACUAUCCGUUCCCAACAAGUCGAACACGGCACAGUACGCUCACAUAUACACUCUCGCCGUAGCGCACACCCUUUUAUCACACUUAGUCCGAGUCCGUAUCGUCAGAUGUACUUGAACCGAUUCGACUUGAGUAUACGGUAGCUCAGGAAUUGUUUGCUGUACUCGAUCGAGAACAUAACUAGGCUGGCCCGCAACAGAUUCAUCAAACGUGGGUAGUAUUCUUUAUUCUUCACGGUGGCCGUCGUCUUUCUAGAACGAUAUUUCAAAUCCGAUCCGCAAUUCCGAUCGAGCUUCGUGGCGCGUGGAAAAACACAGCAAAUGUUUCGUGGAGAGCGUUCGGUUUACUACCGACGCUAGAACACCGUCGCCUUCAUUUUUUAAUUUCUUUCUAUUAUCCCUCUGUUUUGAUUUGUGUAUAAAUUGUAACUCUAAAGCUUAACUUUCCUUAUUCUUAUCUUUCAACAAAUAUCUUGGAGCGUGAUGCACCGAUGAUCGGAGUUGUUUAGGGAUGAUGAUGAAUCGCGUACCACGGUAGUCAAGACGUAUAUCGAUGAUACUCGAAAAAGAAGACGGAGGAAGAGA